GGUCCGGUAGUUCAGUUGGUUAGAAUGCCGCCCUGUCACGGCGGAGGUCGCGGGUUCGAGUCCCGUCCGGACCG
rfam:Rufibacter tibetensis strain 1351, complete genome.